GAUGAACGCUAGCGGCAGGCUUAAUACAUGCAAGUCGUGGGGCAGCAUGAGUAGCAAUACUUGAUGGCGACCGGCAAACGGGUGCGGAACACGUACACAACCUUCCUUCAAGCGGGGAAUAGCCCAGAGAAAUUUGGAUUAAUACCCCAUAGAAUAUAAAAAUGGCAUCAUUUAUAUAUUAAAGCUUCGGCACUUGAUGAUGGGUGUGCGGCUGAUUAGAUAGUUGGCGAGGUAACGGCUCACCAAGUCUACGAUCAGUAGCUGAUGUGAGAGCAUGAUCAGCCACACGGGCACUGAGACACGGGCCCGACUCCUACGGGAGCAGCAGUAAGGAAUAUUGGACAAUGGACGAAAGUCUGAUCCAGCCAUGCCGCGUGAAGGAUUAA
rnacentral:rRNA from 1 species